CCUUUGAAGAGCUGCAGUUGUUUCUAAAGAGAGUAUGACCCGUAUAACACGUCGUCUAGUUCUUAAACGAACUUCGAUAGGUCCUCGUGGCACACCGAACCCACGCUUCUUCACGAUUAUUUCAUCGUGUACAAGAUCGAUCCCUCCCAACGACAUUUAGAGAAACAUUUUGAACCGAGGUACAUGGGGGCCUCACACAAGCGAGGCUCCAACGUCUUCUCUACUUGAAACUUAUUUUUCGUUGAUUAAAAGGGGAUUUUUUUUCAUUAGAACGGGACGGACGGACCAAAACGGUUUACUUCGCUGAGCGCAUAUCGAACUGUCUUAACCGGACGGCCUGUUGCGGGUUGGCUUUGUUGCUGCGGUUCGCUUCGCUUCGCGGCCCGGCGGCCCUAUGGUUUGUUUAUCGGGACGGCGUGCUCCACGUGCUGCACCUGGGGCGUGCAGCCGCGCCCGCUAAGGUGGCUGACGGGGGUGGUAAAGGGGCGGCGGGCCGUUGGCGGGCGCGUCGCGUCGGCGGAACCUUUGCUGCUCCGGUUCCCUCGGUUUAGGGCCGUGCCGUCCUGAGUAGGUGGAAAGGGGUGGCUUGUCGUUGUUGGUGGGCCUUAGGCCACCUUCUUAGCCGCCCCCUUAGGAGAGUCUAAGACGCCCGCUAGCAAUACGCGACUACCGCGGGACGGGACCGCCGCGCCCGCACGUGCGCGCGACCUGUCGCGCCCGCGACCGGCCGCGAAAGGAGCUGGAGCGGUAGCAGAUGCGGAAGGAGACGCGGCGCCGGCGGCGCAGGCGCCGGAGGCGGGAGGAGCGCGAGAAGGCGGAGGCGGAGGGGACGUGGACGAGGGCGGGCGUGGAGGGGACGGAGAAGCGGAAGGAGAAGGCGAUAGGGAGGGCGCAGGAGCUCAGGGAGGAGGAGAGGGAGGCGAGGGCGAAGGGGAAGCAGAAGUUGAGGCUGCUGCUGUCCGUCCUGCUCCCCCUCCUGCUUCUGCUCAGGCAGCUACUCCUUCUCCUUCUACACUUAGACUUCGCCCUCCACCUGCUCCCCUUACUGCAGAGCCACGACGUCGUCCUCGACCUGUUCCUUGCGUCGCGGCGUCGUAGGCGCCGGCUCCUCCGGUACCGCUACUAGGACGCAGACGUCUUCCUCUUUAGCAGGAACCUCUACCUCCACGCCGUCGUCGCGGCGUGGAGACUACUCGCGACGCGGAAGAUACUCCUACUCCACCUCCUCGAGUUCCUGUAGAACGAGUACUCCCUCGCGCUCUGGUCCAGAAACGUCUUUCUCCACCUCAGGAUGGCCGCAUACGAACCAGAGUGGCCCCUACUACUACUGCUCCUCCACCUCUACUACUGCGGCGUGUCAAUGAAAGAUCUCCCGCUCGGUUCGAGAAGGUCUAGCCAACUAUUCUUACGCCCCCAAGUUGGACCCUUAUUAAGACAGAAGUCGAAGGUCUUCGUCAAGCACGCGGUUGUUCACAGCGGGUAAGCACACCCAGCACAAUUCCUACCCUUACUCCUGUCAGACGGAAAAGUCCGUGGACCUCUUCAAGGACACCGGCCUAGCUUUAACCCCCGUCUAUCUACGCUUCUACUACCGUGCCUCUGCCACCAUUAAGAGGGGGAUAGACGGGCCUCAAACACGAACGGGGUUAGACGUGCUACAGACCUAGUUCCACCACUACAACUUCAAUUACGACGUCGACCAUACUUUCCAUACCUUCUCGACUGACGACUACUUAAAGUCCUCCACCUGUCACCCGCCGAUCUGUCCUGAACGGUACUAAAAUACCGUUCGCUGUUACUACGUUUAUAUAAACUACACGUACAACAACUACUAUAAACGAAGAGGUGACUUCAAUUUCCGGACUAGCCAGCUUCGAAGAGACUGCGUUGUUACGUUCGUCUGUUCAACGUCUUAGCUCGACGGUGUCUACUAGAGGACCCCUUUUCAGACUUACGCUAGUUUCCACGUGUUUUGUUCUAUUCCGAACGUCGUUCACUUUCCUCCGUUAGCAAUGUCAACGUUGAGAAUCUCCUAUAUCGACUGGUUGAAGUUCUUUAGUUUCUACAACGUCUGCGCCCCGCUGUGAGUGUGACAUAAAGAGGAUUUUAAAGUUUCUUUUCGAUCCUGUCCGUAUAAAACAGUGCCGCCGUGCCAACUACAACAUCUAUAAACAAAAGCAAACAUCAGAGAGGAGAGCCGUAAUGUAGGAAUUCCAAACAAACAAGAAAGUUUAAUUAUCAUAUACCCAACGAUUACUACGUUUACGUGUAUCUCCAAAUGACUCACGAACAUUAGUAUACAAACAGAAUUUGACUAACACAUGAAACACACGUCUAAUUAAAGAAUAAACAUCAAACUAGUCGUAAUUUGCAUCAUACGGUUCAUACAAGACGUCUAAUUAAAUAAUAAAAAAAGCGUUUUUUUUCUAAUUAAA
rnacentral:rRNA from 1 species